GAUGAACGCUGGCGGCGUGCCUAAUACAUGCAAGUCGAGCGAACGGACGAGAAGCUUGCUUCUCUGAUGUUAGCGGCGGACGGGUGAGUAACACGUGGAUAACCUACCUAUAAGACUGGGAUAACUUCGGGAAACCGGAGCUAAUACCGGAUAAUAUUUUGAACCGCAUGGUUCAAAAGUGAAAGACGGUCUUGCUGUCACUUAUAGAUGGAUCCGCGCUGCAUUAGCUAGUUGGUAAGGUAACGGCUUACCAAGGCAACGAUGCAUAGCCGACCUGAGAGGGUGCUCGGCCACACUGGAACUGAGACACGGUCCAGACUCCUACGGGAGGCAGCAGUAGGGAAUCUUCCGCAAUGGGCGAAAGCCUGACGGAGCAACGCCGCGUGAGUGAUGAAGGUCUUCGGAUCGUAAAACUCUGUUAUUAGGGAAGAACAUAUGUGUAAGUAACUGUGCACAUCUUGACGGUACCUAAUCAGAAGGCCACGGCUAACUACGUG
rnacentral:rRNA from 1 species